rnacentral:rRNA from 1 species
AGCGAACGUUUGCGGCGGGCUUAACACAUGCAAGUCGAACGAGAAUCCCUUCGGGGAGGAAAGUGGCGCACGGGUGCGUAACACGUGGAUAACCAACCCAUUGGUUUGGGACAACACCGGGAAACUGGUGCUAAUACCAGAUGUGUCGCAGCUGUCUUCAGGCGGUUGCGAGAAAGGCCCGCAAGGGUCGCCAACGGACGGGUCCGCGUCCCAUCAGCUAGUUGGUGAGGUAAUGGCUCACCAAGGCAAAGACGGGUAGCUGGUCUGAGAGGAUGAUCAGCCACACUGGAACUGAGACACGGUCCAGACUCCUACGGGAGGCAGCAGUGGGGAAUUUUGGACAAUGGGCGCAAGCCUGAUCCAGCCAUGCCGCGUGAGUGAAGAAGGCCUCGGUU